rnacentral:lncRNA from 1 species
UCUCUCAUCAUCUCUCUCUUUCUCUCUCGCCCGCGCUCUCUUCCUCUCUCUCUCUCUUGAUCCUUGGCUGAAAUCAUGGAAGUUAAUUGAAGAAAAAACGUCGAAUUUAGGAACGAGGUUUGGUCGAGUGGGGUAUAGGAAGGGAAUUUGAGGUUUUAAUCGGGAAAUCCCCAAUUCACAUUAUUGGCAGAAUUAGGGUUGCGUGAAGAAGGCUUUAGCAAGGGGCUACAACGAUCAGGUCGCCUACGGUGGUGGUCGCAUCAGAUGGUCGCCGGAAUCGGGUGAAGAAGAUAAGCUGUCCAAAAUCUGAAUUUUAGCUUUUGGUCCUUUGAAGAAUUAAUAGCUCGGAGGCCUUAAAGGUUGAAUAUUGACGAUCAGGACACACGGUUAGAAACCUGGAGAUGUUAGCUUUCCAUUGGUGUUGGAGCUCGGUAGUAUAAAUCGGCGGUGGUUGCCGGAAUUGGGCGAGAAGUUCAGCCUGCUCGCUGGACCUAUAAUGAAAUCUGCUGCCGCACCUGUUUUCGGAGCCGAAAUCGAAGGGUUUCGAAUGCGAAUUUGGAAUCGGUUCCUUCAGGAAACUCGUAGAGGACAUCGUAAACUAUAAGUAAGUGUUCAAUUGUAUCGAAUUAGAAUAUUUAAUAUACGUGUUUUAGAGGUCGGAAUCCGAUAACAGUAAUCUGCCGGAAACAGGGCAGUUUUGAGUAUCUUCUUGCGGGACUGUUUUCGAUAUGUUGGGAUCAUAAUUUGGGCUAUGUGCCUUCAUGAAACUUGUAGAUUAAACGUCUAGGUUUCAUUUGAUGUAUUAUUUGGACAAUUUGGAUAACCGUGCAAUUUGUUAUGAUUUUUCAAAAUGGCUGUGACAGUAAACGAAAUUAUCCGAAAAUCUGGCAGGUUUAUGUAUUCAUCUUUCGGGGUUGUUAUUGACGGGUUAUGUUGUUAAUUUGGGGUUAAAGUCUUUAGUAAAAUUGUAGAUACAGAUGUUAUCUUUAACUUUAUAUAUCAUUUAGGUCAUUCGGAUAAGUACGACGAUCGCAGUGAUUAUUUGAAUAGAGUGCCACGAGAAGCAAUUCUUAGUAUAUGUUUAAGAAAUUGACUAUGUCAUAUAGUGAAUGGUAGUAUGACUAUAUUACUGUUCGGAAUCUUAUUUAGUUCUAAUAUUUGCAUAGGUGUUGAGCGUAGUGAAGCUCUCACUCAAGGUUUAAGCUUAAAGAUGCUUCUAUAGCACUUCUAUAGCACUAGCGUUGGACUCCAGGUGAGAAACUAUGACUCCUUAUCCGAUUUCUUUCCUACCGCAUAAUAUCUCCUUUGUUUGAACCGAAUAUUUUGUAUAUAUUGAAGCCUUCGAUACCUUGAUUAUAUUUGUUCUUGAAAUAUGAUCCUUAAUGUUUUGCGAGCAUAUUGUUUUCUUGGCUCGAACUUGGAACCUUGAUCUUGUUCUUGAAAUCUUGAACUUGUCAAUUCUCUUGGUUGCUAUGUUCACGGCUAAUUCCUAUACUUGAUUCCCUGGCCUGAACAUUUUCCUUGAAUCGAUAUUGGAUAAUAUUUAUUCUCAAAAUCUUGUCUUGAAUGCUUUCUGAGAAUAAAUAUUUUGUUGGCUCGAACUUGAAUCUCAUGUUUAUUGAAUUCAUUGAGAUCUUGAUAUACUCGUUCUUGGAACCUGACAUAGGAACUUAUUGUUCUUCUUGAAUUCCAUAUUCACGACAAUUCUUUCAUUGGCUUGAAUUGAAAUCUGAACAUGUUCAUUAUCCUGAGACUUCGAUAUUCAAUUAUCGUGAUCGUGACCUAUCUUGUGAAUGAUUGACUUGAUUCUUGAAUUGAUUCUUGAAAUGAAUGACUUGAUAUUCCUAAAAGGAAUGAUAUUGAUUCUUGAACCUACUGUCCCCACCCUUGAGGACGCUCUUGGGGGAGCUGGGCCCUAGGACCAUUUCGGCAAGACGAUCGGGCAGUAUUGGGCUGACGAUGACUGGUCUCCCGAAUGGUACCUCCUGAUGGUUCGGACUCACGUUCGUUUGGAGUUAAAUGUUCUUGAGCCGAAUCGGCACGUUCCGGUCGUGCCUCUUGCUUGUUUCCGACCGAGUGGCCACUCGGGACGGAGUGGAGGGAUAAGGAUGUGAUAUGAUUUUAUUUGUUGGGAGUUACAAGGUUGGAGACCCCACCAAAUAUUGAACUCAAGCCGUACAUGUUACACUCUUGUACAUGUUACACUUCUGUUAAUGAAAUUCUUGUAAAGUCUCUCGUUAUAUGUUCUGUUCUGUUGAUUCUCAUCAUACUCAUGGAUCAUAUGUUUUUCACUAAGUCAUUCGGACUUAUUCGUUUCUCCUUUCUGAUAUUAAUGCGUAGGUAAAAGAAAGACUUAGACCUAAAUUUUCAUACUAAGAGUUAAAGCUCGUGUAUGCCUCCGAUUAGUCUCGUCGAGAGGUAUCUCUAUUUAUGUUCCGUAUAAGAAUCCUUUGAUCGAGAAUUUUGUAAUAGAGUACGUGGUG